rnacentral:rRNA from 1 species
UACGUAGGGUGCGAGCGUUGUCCGGAAUUAUUGGGCGUAAAGAGCUCGUAGGCGGUGUGUCGCGUCGGCCGUGAAAACCUGGGGGCUCAACUCUGGGCGUGCGGUCGAUACGGGCAUCACUUGAGUUCGGCAGGGGAGACUGGAAUCCUGGUGUAGCGGUGAAAUGCGCAGAUAUCAGGAGGAACACCGGUGGCGAAGGCGGGUCUCGUGGGC